rnacentral:tRNA from 1 species
AUAGGUAUAGCUCAGUGGUACAGUUCAUGCUUAGCAUGCAUGAGUUCCUGGGUUCAAUUCCCAGUCUCUCCA